AGGGAGGUUGGCUUAUCUCAGAUAAGAGCUGUAGAUUAUCAAAUCAAAGUCGGUGUGAGAAAAACGCAUCGAAGAAAGUGGAGAACAAAAGUCACACUUUCUUCUAUAUUAAAAAGGAAAAAAGAAAAAAGGGAAAUUUAAAUUUGAAUAUUACUUAAUUAUCUUUCCAGGAUCAGAGCUUUUGUAAUGUUAAUUUCGAGACGCGAAAAAAUCGCACAAGACAAGAAAAAAAACCUUGAAUCCGAUUACAACUGCGACGUAACCUUCUUCUUAACCAGAUCGACUCAAUUAUAGCAAUCUCGAAUCGCACAAAAUGUCAUCUCUGAGCAGAGUUUUAGUGUUCUUAAUCCUUUCAGUUCAAAGGAAUCCAUCCGUCCACAAGUAAGUUAUUCUUUCGUUGUUUGAUUCGAUAAUUUGGCAUAUUGUCGCUACUUUUGAUGUGCAGAGGAAUCGGGCUACUUCUUCAAUUUGAAUAAGUACGAGGAUGCUAGGUCUGGGAUUUGAGUGGGAAGAAACUUUACACCUUUGAAGGGCACGAAACAUAGUUCACUCCAUUUUCCCUCACCAGAAAGAAAAUAUACAGCUUAUAUUCUCAACUGCUCUUGAUGGUAAGAUCAAGGCUUGGCUCUAUGAUAAUAUGGGUUCUAGAGUUGACUAUGAUGCACCAGUACAGUGGUGUACAACGGUGCUAUAUAGUAGCAGACUAUUUUUUUGUGGAACAAGUAAAGUCGGAGAUUCUUUCCUAGUUGAGUGGAAUGAGAGUGAAGGUCCAUAAAGAGGACAUAUCUGGGCUUUAAAAAGAAAUCUGCAGGGAUUGCUCAGUUUGAUACUACACGCAACCGAUAUUUGGCAGUUGAAUGGAGUUGAGGCAAUGUCAAGAACUAUGGAAAAACCAAGAAUCUUGGAGUCAGUUGAAAAGUCCAGACCCUUGGAGCUCAUGGAAGUUACUGGUCCCGCUCAGUGCCGACAGUUGACCAUGCCAGACAGCAAAGGAUUCUGGUAGCAAGGUUGCACGGCUUCUUUUAUACAAAUUCGGGUGUUGGCAUUUUGGCUCUUGGAACAAAUGGUGUCCAGAUACUAUAUGGAGCCGCAGCGAGCAAAAUCCAACUGGAAAAGGCUAUCGCUAGUGUCAACCCCGCAGCAUUUGGCAACCUAACAGUGGUCUCUUAAUGACAAAUGAUGUCUCCGAGAAUCGUGAGGGAGCUGUUCCUUGCAUAGCUCUUUCUAACAAUGACUCGUACGUAAUGUCUGCUUGGGUGGAAAGGUUUCUUUGUUCAAUAUGAUGACUUUCAAGGUAAUGACCACUUUCAUGCCACCUCCUCCUGCUUCAACGUUCCUGACAUUUCAUCCUCAUGAGAAUAACACUAUUGCGACUGGGAUGGAGGACUCAACUAUCCAUAUUUACAAUGUCAGGGUAGAUGAGGUGAAAACAAAGUUGAAAGGCCACCAAAAGCACAUCAUCACUGGUUUAGCAUUCUCUGCCGCUCUAAAUAUUCUGGUUUCCUCUGGUGCUGAUGAUGAUCAUCAGGUGACCGUUAACCAAAAUUGGCUGUUAACUAUAUAAACCGAUCUUUAUUUAAGAAAUGUUUUGGCCAAAAUGUCAAAUCUAUCGCCAAUAUAAUUCCAUUUAACUUUCACAAGUUUGUGAUAAUUUAAAUAAAGGAAAUUUAACAUUUGGGGGAAACUGGUUUUCUUAUCCUACUGAUUUUUACUAGCAAUAAAGCCAAGAUGAGCAAUCGAAACCGGUCCGACCAUACUUGGUUAAGGAAUGGCUGGUUUUAUACGCUUUCUAUAUGUUUUAUGAUAUUGUGUCUUUAUUUGCUUGCUAUUUUAUUAUAAUAACGAGAUAAGGUAAAGACAAGAUUCCUUUUGCGUAAUGAUUUUCUUUUUAAGAUGUUUUGUACCGUUUGUUUGUUUCUAAUAAGAAGAAUGGGAAUUA